rnacentral:rRNA from 1 species
UACGUAGGUGGCAAGCGUUGUCCGGAUUUACUGGGCGUAAAGCGCACGUAGGCGGCUUUCUAAGUCGGGGGUGAAAUCCUGGAGCUCAACUCCAGAACUGCCUUCGAUACUGGAGAGCUCGAGUCCGGGAGAGGUGAGUGGGAACUGCGAGUGUAGAGGUGAAAUUCGUAGAAUAUUCGCAAGAACACCAGUGGCGAAAGGCAGGCCUCAGCU